rnacentral:tRNA from 1 species
GCAGAUGUAUCGAAGUGGCCAUAACGAGAACGACUCGAAAUCGUUUGAGCAGUAACAUGCUCCGUGGGUUCGAAUCCCACCAUCUGCGCCA